UACGUAGGGUCCGAGCGUUGUCCGGAUUUAUUGGGCGUAAAGAGCUCGUAGGCGGUUCCGUAAGUCAGAUGUGAAAACUCAGGGCUCAACCCGGAGACGCCAUCUGAUACUGCGGUGACUGGAGUCUGGUAGGGGAACACGGAAUUCCUGGUGUAGCGGUGAAAUGCGCAGAUAUCAGGAGGAACACCGAUGGCGAAGGCAGUGUUCUGGGCCGAUACUGACGCUGAGGAGCGAAAGCGUGGGGAGCAAACAGG
rnacentral:rRNA from 1 species